rnacentral:lncRNA from 12 species
UUCCCAUCCACCCAGUCGAGGGGGGGGUACUUGUACCCUCAGUUGUGGAAAUUGAGAUUCAGAGAUAUUUAUGUAAGUUGCCCGGGAUCAUACUUCUUCUCACAAGAUUCACUGCCUACCACAACCUGUUCGUCUGUUUUGCUCUUCCAUGGAGCAUAUCCCUUCUUUUGUUCCAGCAUCCAGCCUACUCCACAGUUUUUCAACAAUCCUGCCUCGUCCAGUGGUCACUCGUGGGGAUACCAUUUCUCUUGCCAGGAAUUGGUGUAGGGAUGAGUAUGUGACACAGUUCUGGACUAUGAGUCACAAGAGGAAGUUAGCUGGAAGGCUUCUAGAAAAGAGUUUGUCACUCUGGGAAGUAGUUCCCAUUUUUGCUGCGGGAUGUUACCUGACCUCCGCAUGACGUCAGAAUUGGGGCAAUUGUUUCAUAACAAGGGGAGUUCCCCCAGAGGACACUCUAAAGGUGGGAGGAGCCUAAAGGACAGGAGUGAUGACGUCCCUUGUCUGGAAGCUAACCAACCCUAUAGUGCUCUCCCUCUAUGUGUACCAUUCUGUGAGAGGAACAAAACCUCUCUGAAGCCUCCACCUCCCAGCUUCAUGGACACGGUCCUGGGAUCCAGUCUUCUACCCUCAACACCAGAUCUGCCAGGUUUUCCGUCCCACUCUUAUUUUGUUGGUAAAGGCAAAAAAAAAAAAAAAAAAAAAAAGGAACGAUGUAAAAGAGCCUCUACUCUGAGAAUACAGCCAUUACUCUGCCCUUUGCUCUCCACUCUUCCAAACCAGCCUUGGGAUAAAGCUGACUUCUAUCAAGCCACGUCAAAGACCCUCGAUGUGAGCUCUGGAAUUCAAGCCCAGUGCAAGCUCUUUAAAGUCAUGGAUCUCAUCUGA